AUAGAAAGCCCGGUAUAAAUAUAAGUCUCCCAAAUCACAGUACUCUGCUUCAAAAUUGAAAAAGAAAACCCUAAAUUUUCACUUUCCCGGGUUCUCCAAAUUUUCCCUCUCCGAGUUUCAGUUUCCCACCAUCGAAUCUCGCCAAAUUCACUUUAGAAUUCACCCCGUUCAUUUACUCAAACCCAGGUAUCUUCUCCUUGAGCAGAAAAAAAAGAAACCAAGUUUUAUCGAUGUGCUCUGCUGCUCAACCACCGCUUGAUCACAGCCAUCGAAGAUUAACUGAGGGAGUUUAUAAAUGGGUCUGGGCUCAGAGGAAUGAACUAGAAGUCUCGAGAGAGGACCACAGUCCUCCGACCGGGAAACGACCGCAAGGGAACCCGAUUGGAACUCUCACGUCCGGCCACCCCACGACGGCGCGCGAGCUCCAUUCCCUUCGUCUCUGCGUCGCCUACCUCACCGUAGCCUCUGAUCGUCCAUGCACUAAACGGAGAAGAAGAAUCGACGAUGGGAAGCUUUGUGUCUCCUCCGGCGAGUUCUGCAAUUUCUGGCUACUCCGGCCACCGUCUGAGCUGCUGGUGAUCCGGCGCUGUUCUUCGACGCCGGCGGCUUCUCUGGUUUCUCUUGGUUCGCUCUCCACCUCAGUUCAUCAUCAGUCGGGUUUCGGUUUCGAGAUCAAAACAAGAAGCUGUGAAUUGGUGGGCAUCAAAUUGCCAGUGUAUUCAUAGCCGGGUUUCGGGAAAGAGUUGAAAUUAGGAGCCUAGGUUUUUCACCUGCAAUUUGUGCUAUCGAAGGUAAAUCGAAGUUCUGCACCUUUGGCACGUUUGGCAUAUUGGAUGAACUGUGGUGUUUUGCCUAGUUUAAUAAUUUGUCAAAAUUGGUUUUUCUUCUCCGUUCUUCCGGGCAAGUCUUAGACUUUAAUUUAUGCAAUUGUUUAUGUCUGCCAUGUAUACCUGGAAGCAACUAGAAUAAGGUCUGUUUACUUGAUUUCCCUUACUGUAUAACCUUAGUAAUAUGCAGUCAUAAGGUUUCUCAGUUGAUUUACACACAGAUAAGAUCGAGGGUAUGACUUGUUAUUACUUUAUUUUGAAUCUACCUUCUGUGCAACCUGUAUGAAAGUAGUAAUCUGGAAGUGGUUUGAACCGGCAUGGAAUCUUUAAGAGAAAAUAAUUUGGAAACCAACCAAAUCUGAGAGCUUUUCAUGAGCAGAUGGCUCGUCUCUGAAGUGGUUCUGAUUUUAGAGAUCAAUUUCAGAGGUUGAUUUUCCAGAGGCUGGCUUUCACUCAAAGGGAGAAAUGGAUCGAAGUGAAAUUCUUGAAGCAGAGGACAAUCUCACAUUGCAGAUACCUUCCCCUCUGUCGAUUGUUGCCA